UUUAUGGAGAGUUUGAUCCUGGCUCAGGAUGAACGCUGGCGGCGUGCCUAAUACAUGCAAGUCGAGCGAACGGACGAGAAGCUUGCUUCUCUGAUGUUAGCGGCGGACGGGUGAGUAACACGUGGAUAACCUACCUAUAAGACUGGGAUAACUUCGGGAAACCGGAGCUAAUACCGGAUGAUAUUUUGAACCGCAUGGUUCAAAAGUGAAAGACGGUCUUGCUGUCACUUAUAGAUGGAUCCGCGCUGCAUUAGCUAGUUGGUAAGGUAACGGCUUACCAAGGCAACGAUGCAUAGCCGACCUGAGAGGGUGAUCGGCCACACUGGAACUGAGACACGGUCCAGACUCCUACGGGAGGCAGCAGUAGGGAAUCUUCCGCAAUGGG
rnacentral:rRNA from 1 species